GAUGAACGCUGGCGGCGUGCCUAAUACAUGCAAGUCGAGCGAACGGACGAGAAGCUUGCUUCUCUGAUGUUAGCGGCGGACGGGUGAGUAACACGUGGAUAACCUACCUAUAAGACUGGGAUAACUUCGGGAAACCGGAGCUAAUACCGGAUAAUAUUUUGAACCGCAUGGUUCAAAAGUGAAAGACGGUCUUGCUGUCACUUAUAGCUGGAUCCGCGCUGCAUUAGCUAGUUGGUAAGGUAACGGCUUACCAAGGCAACGAUGCAUAGCCGACCUGAGAGGGGGAUCGGCCACACGGGAACUGGGACACGGUCCAGAGUCCUACGGGAGGCAGCAGUAGGGAAUCUGCCGCAAUGGGCGAAAGCCUGACGGAGCAACGCCGCGUGAGUGAUGAAGGUCUUCGGAUCGUAAAACUCUGUUAUUAGGGAAGAACAUAUGUGUAAGUAACUGUGCACAGCUUGACGGUACCUAAUCAGAAAGCCACGGCUAACUACGUG
rnacentral:rRNA from 1 species